rnacentral:pre_miRNA from 7 species
CUCCAAGAAAUGGGGUGGCCACAAAAUCCCGUGACGAGCCCCCAACUGAAAGACCCCCAUUUCGGGGAGACCCUCACUCAAGUCCUGGAAUGAGCCGAUGCCCCCAUAACACGAGAGAAACC